GAGUUAACGUUGAACCUGACUAGU
rnacentral:piRNA from 1 species